AGAGUUUGAUCAUGGCUCAGGACGAACGCUGGCGGCGUGCUUAACACAUGCAAGUCACGGGGGUCCCGCAAGGGAUAACCGGCGAACGGGUGCGUAACACGUGAACAACCUGCCCUCGUGUGGGGGAUAGCCGGGCUAACGCCCGGGUAAUACCGCAUACGUUCCUCUGGGGGAGUCCUUGGGGGAGGAAAGCUCUGGCGCACGGGGAGGGGUUCGCGGCCUAUCAGCUUGUUGGCGGGGUAACGGCCCACCAAGGCGACGACGGGUAGCUGGUCUGAGAGGAUGGCCAGCCACAUUGGGACUGAGAGACGGCCCAGACUCCUACGGGAGGCAGCAGUGGGGAAUCUUGCGUAGUGGUCGAAAGACUGACGCAGCGACGCCGCGUGUGGGAGGACGCCUUUCGGGGUGUAAACCACUGUUGCCCGGGACGAACACCUCUUUUCGAAGAGGCUGACGGUACCGGGUGAGGAAGCACCGGCUAACUCCGUGCCAGCCGCCGCGGUAAUAC
rnacentral:rRNA from 1 species